rnacentral:rRNA from 1 species
AACGAACGCUGGCGGCAGGCUUAACACAUGCAAGCCGAACGCAUCGCAAGAUGAGUGGCAGACGGGUGAGUAACGCGUGGGAACGUACCCUUUUCUACGGAAUAGCUCUGGGAAACUGGAAUUAAUACCGUAUACGCCCUACGGGGGAAAGAUUUAUCGGGGAAGGAUUGGCCCGCGUUGGAUUAGCUAGUUGGGGGGGUAAAGGCCUACAAGGCGACGAUCCAUAGCUGGUCUGAGAGGAUGAUCAGCCACAUUGGGACUGAGACACGGCCCAAACUCCUACGGGAGGCAGCAGUGGGGAAUAUUGGACAAUGGGCGCAAGCCUGAUCCAGCCAUGCCGCGUGAGUGAUGAAGGCCUUAGGGUUGUAAAGCUCUUUCACCGAUGAAGAUAAUGACGGUAGUCGGAGAAGAAGCCCCGGCUAACUUCGUGCCAGCCGCCGCGGUAACAC